AAGUCCAAUGUCGCAAGACUUAUUUGUGUCUGGCAGUCGCACACAUACACGUGCAUGCCAAAGUCUUCAAAGUCAAUCCGAAAUAAAGACAGUCAUCAAAAGUCAAUCAGACAAUCGACUAAAACGAGCGGAAUGGUCCAGUACCCUACCGUACUAGCGGCACCAAGCACGCCCGUUUCAUCAGCGGGCUAGGAUCGAUCCGCAGCACCCUACCGUGCUGGUCAUCCGGUCGA
rnacentral:rRNA from 1 species